AUUGAACGCUGGCGGCAUGCCUUACACAUGCAAGUCGAACGGCAGCACGGGAGCAAUCCUGGUGGCGAGUGGCGAACGGGUGAGUAAUAUAUCGGAACGUGCCCAGUCGUGGGGGAUAACGCAGCGAAAGCUGUGCUAAUACCGCAUACGAUCUAUGGUUGAAAGCGGGGGACUCGCAAGGGCCUCGCGCGAUUGGAGCGGCCGAUAUCAGAUUAGGUAGUUGGUGGGGUAAAGGCUCACCAAGCCGACGAUCUGUAGCUGGUCUGAGAGGACGACCAGCCACACUGGAACUGAGACACGGUCCAGACUCCUACGGGAGGCAGCAGUGGGGAAUUUUGGACAAUGGGCGCAAGCCUGAUCCAGCCAUGCCGCGUGCAGGAUGAAGGCCUUCGGGUUGUAAACUGCUUUUGUACGGAACGAAAAGACUCUGGUUAAUACCUGGGGUCCAUGACGGUACCGUAAGAAUAAGCACCGGCUAACUACGUGCCAGCCGCCGCCGUAACAC
rnacentral:rRNA from 1 species